rnacentral:lncRNA from 1 species
AUGAAUGCAAGAGAGAUCAGGAGAGCAGAUAUGUCUCUGAGGCAAAUUCUAAGAGCUGGACAAUGUAAGUGCAACUGCUGGUUUCUGGGUGAUCUCUAUGCCACUGAGGAGGAAGGAGUAGAGCUUUCUGCUGUUUUUAAGGCCCACACAACAAAUGAAGUUCUGUGACAACAUCUGUUAACAGAAAGAUCUGAUGGUUCAGGAAUGCAAAAAGGAAGACAUCACUUUCUCAUUCAACUGUCAGAGCACUGCUCAUCGUGUCCUCAGUUUUAUCUGAUUCUCUAAACUCAAGGAUAAGUCAGGUAAUUCAUUUUAUAAGGCUUUCAGAUUGUUUGCUUUUAUGUAGAGACCCUAUAAAGCAUUUAUAUGGAGGAUUAUCUUGUGAGAAGUUAUCUUAUGAAAACACCCAGAGUAUCAUCCCUCAGACAUAAAACCUCCAAAAGAAAUUUGAUUUUCUGUCUGCUGAAGAACCUCUGAGUUCAUUUCUGAUCUGAUUAACAGAACAAAAUGUUGAAACAAAAGUCAGGAUUUCUCGCUGAAUUACAUGCAGAAUGAGGCAGGAACCCCUCCUGAUCAUAUUAGUAUGUAUGAGAACAAAGCUGUCAAAAAGAGAAAAAAAGGCCUAAGAAACAUAUCAUGC